rnacentral:rRNA from 1 species
AGAGUUUGAUCCUGGCUCAGAUUGAACGCUGGCGGCAGGCCUAACACAUGCAAGUCGAGCGGUAACAGGGGAAGCUUGCUUCCCGCUGACGAGCGGCGGACGGGUGAGUAAUGCAUGGGAAUCUGCCCGAUAGUGGGGGAUAACCUGGGGAAACUCAGGCUAAUACCGCAUACGUCCUACGGGAGAAAGCAGGGGAUCUUUUGACCUUGCGCUAUCGGAUGAGCCCAUGCCGGAUUAGCUGGUUGGUGAGGUAAUGGCUCACCAAGGCGACGAUCCGUAGCUGGUCUGAGAGGAUGAUCAGCCACAUCGGGACUGAGACACGGCCCGAACUCCUACGGGAGGCAGCAGUGGGGAAUAUUGGACAAUGGGCGGAAGCCUGAUCCAGCCAUGCCGCGUGUGUGAAGAAGGCCUUCGGGUUGUAAAGCACUUUCAGUGAGGAAGAAUGCCUUCGGGUUAAUACCCUGAAGGAAAGACAUCACUCACAGAAGAAGCACCGGCUAACUCCGUGCCAGCAGCCGCGGUAAUACGGAGGGUGCGAGCGUUAAUCGGAAUUACUGGGCGUAAAGCGCGCGUAGGCGGCUUGAUCAGCCGGUUGUGAAAGCCCCGGGCUCAACCUGGGAAUGGCAUCCGGAACUGUCAGGCUAGAGUGCAGGAGAGGAAGGUAGAAUUCUCGGUGUAGCGGUGAAAUGCGUAGAUAUCGGGAGGAAUACCAGUGGCGAAGGCGGCCUUCUGGACUGACACUGACGCUGAGGUGCGAAGCAUGGGUAGCAAACAGGAUUAGAUACCCUGGUAGUCCAUGCCGUAAACGAUGUCGACUAGCCGUUGGGAUCCUAGCGAUCUUUGUGGCGCAGUUAACGCAAUAAGUCGACCGCCUGGGGAGUACGGCCGCAAGGUUAAAACUCAAAUGAAUUGACGGGGGCCCGCACAAGCGGUGGAGCAUGUGGUUUAAUUCGAUGCAACGCGAAGAACCUUACCUGCUCUUGACAUCCUGCGAACUUGUGAGAGAUCACUUGGUGCCUUCGGGAACGCAGUGACAGGUGCUGCAUGGCUGUCGUCAGCUCGUGUUGUGAAAUGUUGGGUUAAGUCCCGUAACGAGCGCAACCCCUAUCCUUAUUUGCCAGCGCGUAAUGGCGGGAACUCUAAGGAGACUGCCGGUGACAAACCGGAGGAAGGUGGGGACGACGUCAAGUCAUCAUGGCCCUUACGAGUAGGGCUACACACGUGCUACAAUGGCCGGUACAAUGGGUUGCUAAGCCGCAAGGUGGCGCUAAUCCCACAAAGCCGGUCUCAGUUCGGAUCGGAGUCUGCAACUCGACUCCGUGAAGUCGGAAUCGCUAGUAAUCGUGAAUCAGAAUGUCACGGUGAAUACGUUCCCGGGCCUUGUACACACCGCCCGUCACACCAUGGGAGUGGACUGCACCAGAAGUGGUUAGCUUAACCUUCGGGAGAGCGAUCACCACGGUGCGGUUCAUGACUGGGGUGAAGUCGUAACAAGGUAACC